AUCGCGCGGAUGCUGUCCCUCCUCCGCCCUCCUCCCUCCCUCCCGCCUCUCCUCCAUGAUUCGCCUCGUCUCGAUUCACAUGAGAUAGCUAAGAUUUCACCGUCAAAUCGAUCCAAAGUAAUGGGAUAAGGGAAGCAUCGUUGCGAAUCCGAGCUCGCCUUCUGGAUUUCUUCCUCGACCGCGAACCCUUCUUGUAGGGUUCGUGGUCUCAUGGGGUCUACUUGCGUACGUUUCCCCUUUUCCCUCUUCUCUUUCUCUUUAAUCCUGUUUGGUCAUGCUAAAUAUCUUCAAUCUUAGACAGAGAAUGCAACAGAUGAUGUGUCCAGCUUGUUAUGAAAAUUGGUCAGUUUCUUUCACUGAUCAGUUAUAUUCUGUGCAUUGAGCACAAUUUAUUGGCUAAAACAUCAAUACUGUUGUUGAUUACAUUAGAAGUUAUGCAACUACACAUGACUCUUUCAUUUUAGUAUAUGAUUCAUUAAUGUGAUUUCACUCCUUAUAACACAUUAUUCGCAGUAACACACUAUUUUUGUAUACUUCAAUGGAACUUCAUAUAUGAAACUGUCAAGGUUCAAGCUGCAGUCAGAAUCAUCCUUGGGUGUGCCAUUGAUGGUGUCUCACUUAUAUUGCCAAACAUAAAUGGAUGUCUUGUAUGGAACAAAUAAACCAUUAAGAAUGAGGAUGAUGAUGCCAAUGGGAGCGGAAAAUCUAGCAUGGUAGAAGAAGGUUUUCAAGAAAGGUGGCAGACAAUAUCCUAUGGGACUGAAUCAUGUACAGUAAGGUGCAGUUUGGCAAGGAGGAAUGUUAUGCUGGUGCAGACCAUGUGCUACGAGAAAAGGAUCCCAUACGUUUGGUGAUGAUGCAGUCUUCUCCUUCCAGAACAAAUAAGAGGAGUUGAAGUAGGCGUUGAUGCUGGACCAGCAACGUGCUUCCCAACACUAAAUCUUAUGCCCGGAAGACCUGCUUGCAUAUCUGCUGCAUCGACAACAACCGUGUUCAAUAAAGCACUGGCAUGUGGACCAGAAAGAGUAGCACGCAUGUUGCCAUCUUACGCUAUCAUAUUUGGAGUGCCAUAUCAAUCAUCUCAAGACAGCUGAAAUGGUUCGCAGAAGGAUCCUCCAUUAACCUUCUAAGAAUCGCCAUGUUCCGGAUAUCAUAUCAUAGCAACGAGGUGGGUGAAGGGUACCAACAUCAAUUUUUAUAUAUUAAAGAAUAAUUAUAGUGCAUGAACUCUCUACAGUUGAAUUAUAUCGAUGUCAAGCAGCCCUACAUAAUUCUUUUUCUUUGUUUUCU